rnacentral:misc_RNA from 1 species
AAACCCAUCCUACCGUUCGGUAGGGACUUGUCGAUCGAGUGCGUCUUGUGCGCAUCCGUCGAUUAAAAGUAGUAGGUCUAGUCAGGCUAGUGGCCUGGGACAUUGUGUGCUAGAGACGUCGCUUCGGCUGACUGUCUUCUCACAGUGCGUCCCUUGCUAUACAAGCUGGUCUGGUCUUGGCCUCCACAGUCAUCGUAAGGUGACAACCCCCCU